CAAUAAAAUUUGUUUAAAGAAUUGUAAUUACUUAAAAAUAAUAUAUCUUUUAUUUGAUUCUUGUUUGUAUCUAUCUUACUCGAUGGUAUUGAUUUUGCAUAUGCUAAAUUAAAAAAUAUACUUUCAGUACGGUGACAAAAUUACAAAGUACAAAGUAAGGAUGAGGGAGGGGGCAAAUAGUUACAAUUUAACUUCUUCUUUUUCUCGUAUCUAUUCUACUACCUAUCAUCAAGACAACAAUAGUUCUUAAAUAUCUAACUAUUUUUUAAAGAAGCGGUGAAACCAUAAAGCUGAAUAUUAUAACUAAAGGAGAAGCUUAAAAUUGUCUUCGUGAAAACAAGAUUAAAUCAGAGGAUUUUGUUUUGAUACUUUAAGGUGGAAAGUACCUUUUCAGUAAAAAAUCAUAUCUUAAAAACCUAAAAUCAGUUUACAGAAGAAAAAAAAAGAACUCCGUCACUUGCUCUCAUCUCCCUUACAAAGCAGACUUCGUGAUGAGAAAGGUAACUAAGGUAAUGUGACAAGCUAAGAUUAAAUAAGAUUUUAUUGGAUAAUUUUUUACAAGUUGCACAGAAAAUUUCCAUAUAUUAUUUUGUUAUUUUAAUAUACAGUAUUAAAUAUUAAACAUAUAAUAUUUAACACAUAAUUUAGGAUACAUUUGUAUAUAACAAUAAGAUACGCUUGUGAACAAUAUAGGAACUAUGUUGGAAAAAGUAUCUUAUAAAAGGCACCAUAAGUAUUAUCAUUUAUAAUCUGUUUAAGCUAACUGGUCAAUGUAACAUUUCUAGAUACCAAAGUAUAAAGCGUGGAAUUAAGCGUAACCGUACAAAUACAAAAAGUAUACAUUAUUAGUGUAUAAAGUAAUUUUAUCUUAAAUAUAAUUCAUAUUAAAAACAACUUACAUCAGGUUUAUCAUGUGACCCGUAUUUCAAGUUUUAAUAGAAUAUAAAUUAAAAUUUUAUUAUUGUAUAAAAGCUACGAUAUAAGAAAGAUUUGUUGAAAAAAUUACCUUGAUAGCAUGCGGUGAUUUUAUUUUCAUCUCUUUUUAAUUGUCCAAAACAAAUUUCGAAUGCUGUUUCCUAACUAAAGAUUGAAAGAAAAGUAUUAUAAAGUAUUUAUACACAAUUUUAUCAUAGAACGAACCAAUUUUCUCAUUUAUUGUAUUUUGCGUUAAUAAAAUAGAACGCUGUCGAAAAUGUCUGGCUUAAAUUACUAGACAGCUCUAUUCGGUCUAAUUGUAAGAUUGAAUUGUGUUUUUGAACCUAUAUUUUCCAGUAAAACAUAAUAGCUUCAAAUCGAUUGUAUAAUAUAAUAAUUGAACUUUAUAGAGUUUAAUUGAAUGAUGUUUUUGAAUUUUCCAUCGGUUGUAUUAUAUGUUUUGCUGAAAAAUUCAAAUUUACAAUUAAAUUGUAAAUUUGAAUUUUUCAGCAAAACAUAUAAUACAACCGAUACAAUACAAUACAUACCUAUUUUAAAGUAAUUGUGUUUUACUAAAAAAUGCAGAUACAAAAAUACAAUUUAAUCUUACUAAUCGAAUAAUAGAGUGCUUUCUAGUAGUUUUAAUCGGAUACUUUUAACGGGAAAUUUUCAAUAAUGUACUUAUAUAACUGUAACAAAUAACAACUAU
rnacentral:lncRNA from 13 species